UCCUCCUCAGACUGCAGCAGAGUGUCCCUUCAGGCAGUGGUUCACUGCAGACCUGUCUGACUUCUUGCAACUGCAGUUAGUUUAGACUAAGAACUGGAAUAUCUUCAUCAGUACAAUUCACUUGGGUAGUUGCUCUCCUCAACUGUGAUGAGAGUCCACAUAAGUCAGACUGUACAGACAGACUGGAAUUGUAGGAUGGAAUAUUACCUUACCUUCUGACAAUGGAUCACUGUCCAGAAGAGCUACUAGAACAAAACCUUAUGUCACAGGCUGAACAAGUCAAGCUCCCUCAGCCUGUCUUCACAGGAAAGCUAUUCCUGCCCUCUGAUCAUCUUUCAAUUUUCACACCUUUCUUGUGCUGGGGACCCCAGGCCUAGAAGAGUAAUACCUUUGAGGCUGGAAAGACGAUUAUGAUAUGCAUGACUGGAGCAUACAGAGGAAGUGUGGCAGGACCACCACCUGCAGUAUGGGCUGACUCCCACAAUGUGGAAGAAAUCCAGAACAUCAUUUCAGAUUAAUUUCUUGACAUCUCAACUUUGUCCUGCACCCCAUCCACCAACACAGAACAUACUCAAGAGUAACAAAGAUAUUUCUGGUGACACACUGCAGCCAUGGGAAAUUGGAAUGCAAGUCAUGCCAUAUCUACUGACAGCUCAUAAAGUACUCCACAGCAGUGCAGAAGAUGUAUUUUCUAUGCCUGAAGAUCAUGUUAGCUUGGUCCGGGUUUUGCUAAAUAGUACUGAACUUUUGGCUGUUUAUUCCCAACUCUGUGAUGUCAGCUGGCCUCCCUGGAAGCCAGACUCCAAUUGCGGCAACCAUUCUGUACACGCACAUUGCAUGGAAAGAGUUACCUAGUAAUAAAAAAC
ensembl:lncRNA